rnacentral:rRNA from 1 species
AACGAACGCUGGCGGCAUGCCUAACACAUGCAAGUCGAACGAGACCUUCGGGUCUAGUGGCGCACGGGUGCGUAACGCGUGGGAAUCUGCCCUUGGGUUCGGAAUAACAGUUGGAAACGACUGCUAAUACCGGAUGAUGACGUAAGUCAAAAGAUUUAUCGCCCAAGGAUGAGCCCGCGUAGGAUUAGCUAGUUGGUGAGGUAAAGGCUCACCAAGGCGACGAUCCUUAGCUGGUCUGAGAGGCUGAUCAGCCACACUGGGACUGAGACACGGCCCAGACUCCUGCGGGAGGGAGCAGUGGGGAAUAUUGGACGAUGGGCGAGAGCCUGAUCCAGCAAUGCCGCGUAAGUGAUGAAGGCCUGAGGGUUGUAAAGCUCUUUUACCCGGGAUGAUAAUGACAGUACCGGGAGAAUAAGCACCGGCUAACUCCGUG